rnacentral:rRNA from 1 species
AGAGUUUGAUCAUGGCUCAGAAUGAACGUUGGCGGCGUGGAUUAGGCAUGCAAGUCGAGCGAGAAUUCCCCGCAAGGGGAAGGACAGCGGCGAAAGGGAGAGGAACACGUAGUUACCUACCCUCAGGUCUGGGAUAGCUCCGGGAAACCGAAGGUAAUACCAGAUGAUAUCGAGAGAUCAAAGGUGUGAUUCCGCCUGAUGAGGGGACUGCGUCCUAUUAGCUUGUUGGUGAGGUAACGGCUCACCAAGGCAUUGAUGGGUACGGGGUGUGAGAGCAUGCCCCCGCUCACUGGGACUGAGACACUGCCCAGACACCUACGGGUGGCUGCAGUCGAGGAUCUUCGGCAAUGGGCGCAAGCCUGACCGAGCGACGCCGCGUGCGGGAUGAAGGCCUUCGGGUUGUAAACCGCCGUCGGAGUGGAGGAAAUUCCAUGGGGUAAUCUCCAUGGAUUGACUAAUACUCAGAGGAAGGACGGGCUAAGUUCGUGCCAGCAGCCGCGGUAAGACGAACCGUCCAAACGUUAUUCGGAUUCACUGGGCUUAAAGGGUGCGUAGGCGGCUCAGAAAGUAGGGUGUGAAAGCCCUCGGCUCAACCGAGGAAUUGCGCCCUAAACUACUGGGCUUGAGGAACGCAGAGGUAAGCGGAACUUACGGUGGAGCGGUGAAAUGCGUUGAUAUCGUAAGGAACACCAGGAGCGAAAGCGGCUUACUGGGCGUUUUCUGACGCUGAGGCACGAAAGCCAGGGGAGCGGACGGGAUUAGAUACCCUAGUAGUCC